rnacentral:rRNA from 1 species
CCAAGGAGUCUAACAUGUGUGCGAGUCGUCAGGUCRUUAAAAAAAUGAMGAAACCUGAAYGGCGCAAUGAAAGUGAAGGCCGACCGUCUUGCUUCCCCGUCAUUCCCGCGUGGAAGUCGGGGGGCAGCGGUGAGCCAAGGCGGGAUCCGAGAAACAGCCGGGGUGAGCAAACAAAAAUUACGCUCGCACCCCGGUCGGCGCACCGCCGGCCCGUCUCCAUGCCGCAACGUCGGUGAGGCGGAGCCAGAGCGUACACGUUGGGACCCGAAAGAUGGUGAACUAUGCUUGGGCAGGACGAAGCCACAGUAAGCUGUGGUGGAGGUCCGUAGCGAUUCUGACGUGCAAAUCGAUCGUCGGACCUGAGUAUAGGGGCGAAAGACUAAUCGAACCGUCUA